UAAGUUAUAGUUUAUAUAAGAACGAAUUUUUUACAUGAAUUUAGUCCUUUAAGGUAACUUAA
rnacentral:tRNA from 1 species